GCGUGCUCGACACAGGCAGACCGGGCAGGCCGCCUGCGGCGUUAGUUCAGUGUGUCCUGUUGGUGUGUGUGCAGCUCUGUGUUUCUCGGUUUACCUGCUGUUGUGGUAUGCCGUCGACCAUCUUCCAAUUGGAAUCGAAGUAAAACCAGUGAGGGCCAGUGACGAUCCAUUAGUUACCAUGCACGGGGUGAGAGAAAAUGUUGCAGCACUCGUUGUGCCUGGCAGUCCGAUAAGCUGUACACUGGUAAUAAUAGGAAGUUUAAAAACCCCGUCUCACAAAUAACUUUAAUGUCGCGAUGCGCAUUUCGAAGGCUAAGCCUUCCUCUUCAGGCGAAG